GUUAAGGCAGUUACACUAUACAGACUUUCAUGCGUAAAGGAGCAGGAAGGAAUCCUUCUGGAUCAAUACCGGCGCCCAUCAGCAAUGCAGCAGGCGCUUACAUCACACCACAGCCUCCCAGCAUGUGGCAGCAGAAGCUGUUUUUAAUGUGGUGCUGCUUGGAGAAGCAGCUGGGCGGCCCAUCCCCCCAGCCAACGUGGAGAAUCGGAGCGAGGGAGCGAGGGAGAAGGCCACAUGCUGUUACACAAGCACUUCUUACCUCCUUCUUUUCAUUCCGAGGGGAAGAUUGCCUCUGCACGCCGCUGAAUGGGAAAACAUUUUAGCAGGGACCAAAAUGCUCCACCAGCGCAUCUACGCCGAGGUGCGUGGAAGAAGAAUGGUGACAACAAAAUAAAAAAACGGACAUUAAAUACA
rnacentral:lncRNA from 1 species